CCUACGGGCGGCAGCAGUGGGGAAUAUUGGACAAUGGGCGAAAGCCUGAUCCAGCCAUGCCGCGUGUGUGAAGAAGGCCUUCGGGUUGUAAAGCACUUUCAGUGGGGAAGAAAGCCUUGGGGCUAAUACCCUCGAGGAAGGACAUCACCCACAGAAGAAGCACCGGCUAACUCCGUGCCAGCAGCCGCGGUAAUACGGAGGGUGCGGGCGUUAAUCGGAAUUACUGGGCGUAAAGCGCGCGUAGGCGGUCUGAUAAGCCGGUUGUGAAAGCCCCGGGCUCAACCUGGGAACGGCAUCCGGAACUGUCAGGCUAGAGUGCAGGAGAGGAAGGUAGAAUUCCCGGUGUAGCGGUGAAAUGCGUAGAGAUCGGGAGGAAUACCAGUGGCGAAGGCGGCCUUCUGGACUGACACUGACGCUGAGGUGCGAAAGCGUGGGUAGCAAACAGGAUUAGAUACCCUAGUAGUC
rnacentral:rRNA from 1 species